GGAUUUUUCAUCUUUAGAAAGAUAAAAAUUUUAAUUUUGCAAUUCUAGAGACCAUAAAUUAAUGUAAAGAAUUAUUAAGGUGAUUAAUAGGAUACAUUGAUACCUCUGGUCCUCUCCCAUGGGAAAAGCGUGGGACUAGAUUUUUUUCUGACUGGGAAGUCUUUGGACUUCCCAGAAGAUUUUUUCUGAUUUUUUGGUAAAUUUUUAUAUUUGGAAAUAUUAGGUAAAGAUUUUUUGGAAUUUAUACACUAGGAAUCAAUGUUAGGAGAGUGAGAGGAAAAAGGAAAAAUCUUUCAUGGUGAGACUUGAUAUGGGGGAUUCUCUACAUCUAGGGAGGCAGAUUUUGUUUUUCUCCUGUUUCUUAAAGGCGUCUGCAUCCAGAGCAGCUCCCGGCACUGUCCUCUUCUAGAAUCUUCCGGCCCACUGUGCACUUAGCAGCAGUCAGAGGGUCUCGUGGAUCUGGGGCGCCAGCUGUGUGCUUCCCGCUUCCGCAAACCUCUCCACUGCCCUCGCUGAGCUCUGCCCAUGCCAACUGUGCCCUGGCGGUGGGAGACCNGGAUUCCCUCCUGCUCAGGGGUCCCCAGGCUCCUCUUGGGUCCUUCUCAGGCCUUCGACUGAUUGGGUGAAGCCCACCCAUACCGUGGAGGACAAGAGGCACCAAUUUAAAUGCUGAUCUCAUCCAAAAACACCCUCACAGAAAACUCCAGAAUAAUGUCUGAUUGACUUAUUACCUCAGCACCAUGGCUCAGCCAAGUUGUCACAAAAAAUUAGCAGCACGCUCCUCAACAGGCAUCUUGUACUUAUAGUCCCAGGACUUCACGCUCUUUCCAUGGCCUGCAGUGUGAUUUCAAAGCCCUGGGGUCUGAUAAUUGCCCGCGUUCCCACCUGGCUCCACAGUCUCCCCUGCUCACGUGUGAGGGCAUCCCGGCCUUCCCUGACUCCUGGACACGUGCGGUCUCUGCACACCUAGCCUGCGCACCUGCCACAGCCGUGAGUGGCUCCCUUCCCUGAUGCUGCUGCAGGCUGCUCUGGAAGCCUCACAGCACCUAAAGGACCUAAAGCUCGCGGCUCCGACCGACACCUCCUGCACUCACAGCCUCUCGUCUGCGGCGUCCGCCCGUCCUGCAGGCUGCUGUGGCCCAGGGCUCCGCGCAGCAGAUGUCCUUGUUGCCGCAGGACAUUGCUAGUCCGGAUUUCCUGGGUCACUGCCCUUCCUUCCGAUGUUCUACACCUGUUACGGUUUGCCUCUGGACGUCCCGGGCCCAGCAGGCAGGGAAGGCCUGGCCCCUCUGCGGGUGCUCAGAGAUGGGGCUCUGGGGGGUGACUGGGUAGCGAGGCUCAGGCUCACAGCAGGUGGAUGUUGGGAGGUGGUGUGGACCGGAGGAGGCGGCCCUGCUUGAAGGAGGGUCCCUGGGGGUGUGCCCUGGGGCCUGCAUCGCCCCCCUCCCUCUCGGCUUCCUGGCCGCCCUGAGCUGCCGCUCUGCCUCCCCUCAGCACCAAAGCCCUGGGGUCACUGGCCAGGGACUGAAACCGAGUACCCUUUCCAGCUCUAGGUUGUCUUCCUCAGGUCCCAGCACGGAGAGCCAGCCACACGCCCUCUCCAUGGUCACAGUCCCCUCUCAGCCCACCUUCGGAAGCUCUAGGAAGGGAUUUGUAGUGGGAAACUUCUCGAUAUCUCUAGGCUUUAUUUGUCUAAAAACUGUAUUUAUCUAAACUUUAAAACAAUGUCUGCAUCGAGGGCUGAGGUGCAGUUCAGUGGCUGAGUGCUUGCCUCGCAUGCUCAAGGUCCUGGGUUCAACCCCCAGCACGAAUAAAAACAAGUUGGAAUUAACAAUUAAGCCAGGCUGAUUCACAUGUCACCUCACACGCUUGUGUGUGUGUGUCGUGAACACUUAAAACCUACUCUCGGUAACUUUGAACCAUGUUAUAUCAACUGCAGUUGCCAAUCUGUGCAAUAGUUCUCAGGGGCUCAUUCUUCCUGUCUCAUGAAAACUGUGCCCCUCGCUGAUCAACACCCCAGCUCCCAGGAAUCAGGAGUCCACUCUGCUUCUGAGCUCAGUGUUUCCAACCCGCGGAUGCGGCUCGGCUUGUUUCACCUGCUCCCUGUCCUCCAGGUGCGUCCACACUGUCACAAAGGAUAGGAUUUCCUUCCCUUUUUUUUUGUACUGGGGACUGAACUCAGGGGCACUCCAUCACUGAUCCACAUCCCAGCCCUAUUUUGUAUUUAGAGACAGGGUCUCACUGAGUUGUUUUAGCACCUCGCCAUUACUGGGACUGGCUUUGAACUCGCCAUCCUCCUGCCUCCCCAGCGGCUGGGGUUACAGGUGUGCACCACGCGCCUGUCAGUUUUCUUCCUUUUUAAAGAAAGUUCUGAAACAUUCAUGGUGUGUGUGUUCCGCGUUUUCUUCACCCACCCAUUCACUGGAGGAUGCCUGGGCUGAUCUGGGAACAGUGCUGUGGUGACUGGGGGGUGCGCAGCCCAGCUGUCUCUGCCACCUGCUGCCUGCCUUUUCUUUGGGUGUACGCUCCACAGGGGGCGGCUGCAUGGCACAGCA
rnacentral:lncRNA from 1 species